AACGGUCUAUACCUGCGGUACCUGCGGAGGGAUCAUUAAAGAGAAAACUGCCCUUUGGGUAGAUCUCCCACCCUUUGUUUACCUUACCUUUGUUGCUUUGGCAGGCCCGUCUUCUGACCACCGGCUUUAGCUGGUCCGUGCCUGCCAGAGGACCCCAAACUCUUAAUUUUAAGUUGUCCGAGUCUUAUAAAAUAGUAAAAACUUUCAACAAUGGAUCUCU
rnacentral:misc_RNA from 1 species